rnacentral:tRNA from 3 species
GCCCGGGUGGUGGAAUGUAGACACGGUGAGCUUAAACCUCACUGACCUACGGGUCGUGCCGGUUCGAGUCCGGCUCCGGGCA